CUUCUUCUUGAGCACAGAUCGAUUGCGAUUUUGAAGUUCGAUUUUGAGCACCGUGAUUUGGAACUCUUCUUCAGAUCCGUGAUCUUCGUCUUCUUCGAUCAGAGAGAAGGAUCGAGAAUUGGGGGAAGCCUUAGAGAGAAGGCAGUUGAAGAGAUCUGGAUAUUGGACUAGUGAUAAGAGGGAAUGGGUUGAACUAUCAAGAUCGGCCCCUUUAUUGAUCCUGUAGUUUGGGGCAAAACAGGUAAAGAUUUUGACUACCACUUUGCUUUUAUUUGUGUUCUCUUUAUAGUGUUUUAUCUAGAUUUUUGUUAUGUUUAUACAAAUAUAUUGUAUUUUUUUUUCCAUUAAUGUUCUUCACAGUAAUUGCUUUUGUUUUGAUUGGAGUAUAAGAGUCUUUAGUGAAGGUAUGGUAAGUAAGAUUCCUGACUUUGAGACUGUUAGGGAUAUCAGAGAGAAGCUUUGCUACAUAAGGUUAGUGAAUAUCAUCGUAGUUUGGUUUGCUUUUAUGGAAUUUGAGAUUGUUCUAUAUUUCUCUCUGUUUUGCAACACCUCAAGAAUUCAUGUGUAGUACAUUUUUAUGACAAUUAGAUUCAAUGGUCAGUGUCUAAGUCUAAUUUGAUGAAGAUGUUAUGCUAUACUUAAUUUUCUCAAAUUUUGUCCAUGAAGUUUUGAGAUUAUUAGUUUCAAUUGUUGUCAAUUGUGGAUGCUAAAGACUUAAUUUUUAUGUGGUUUUCAUGCCUUUUUUAGGUUAUCCUUUUGAAAGCAAUCUGUGAUCUAUACUGUUGCUUUCCACUUGACAGUGCAAAGGCACAAUUUAUUCAUGUCGUAGAUUGUGAGGAAAUUUCUGUUUAACUAUCCCAUUUUGUAUAGCUCAAUUUUAAUGUUGGGUCCAACAUUCCUGAAAUUUUAUUGCCCGGCCUAACAUUCCUAGUCAAUUUGUAGAGCAUUUCUACUUGAUUUAAUGCUGGGCCAAAAUUUCUUCAUUACUUUGACAGUGGAAGCACUGGAAGCAGUGGCAGCAAUAGAAGCAGGUAUUAUAAUCUUUUUCUUUCAUUUGUUAUGUUUAUUGCGUAUUCUCGAAUUGAUUGAAUUUUUUUAAGCAGUGAAAAUAAUCUUGAAUAAAAUCCAUGAUUUUGAUUGAAUUAUUCUGUAAGGUAAGCUUCAAGGGUUGUUUGUCCCAAAAACUGGGGCAAGUCUUAGCAUCUCUAGACUCAAAGUUCCUAUAAAAAAUACAGUUAAACAAUGUAUAUUUGGUGUAAAAGAAUUUGGGUGUUGCAGAUGUUUGAAGACCAUAAUAGGUAGACACAGUUUCAUGUUCUUUCUGUUCAUGGACUUGAUGACACUAUUCGCUCUAAGCUUGAACAUGAAUUUGGAGCCUCCUCUGACUUGGGUUUCCACUUUCUCCAUUUCCAUCUUUCUGAGGAAUUAGAGGGUGGUGGUGACUGGAUAUAUCCACCUCCACCACCUCCUCCUCCU